rnacentral:ncRNA from 1 species
CAUGGCUUUGGUCCUGGGCCUACCAUUACUUAUUGUUAUGCUUAUACAUGCAAGUCUCCACGAACUAGUGAGUGCGCCCUCCCCCUCCAAAAAAGAUGACCGGCGCGGACAUCAGGCGCGUCUCCGACAGCCCACAACGUCUCGCCACGCCACACCCCCACGGGUAUUCAGCAGUAAUAAACAUUGAGCUAUAAAUGUAAUUUUGACUCAGCAAUAACAAACAAAGUUGGUUAAUUUCGUGCCAGCCACCGCGGUUAAACGAAAGACUACAAUUAAUGGCACCACGGCGUAAAGCGUGAUAAGAUAAUACUAUUCGACCUCACGGAAAGGCAAUACCAGUCUAGCAGUAGAAUGCCCAGACCCGAAAAAUACCACUCUUUCCAUGUCCUAUAUUGCACCACGAAAGCUUAGACACAAACUAGGAUUAGAUACCCUACUAUGCUAAGCCGUUAACCAGACAGUACAUCAAAACAAACUGUCCGCCAGAGAACUACGAGCAAAAAGCUUAAAACUCAAAGGACUUGGCGGUGUCCCAUAACAACCUAGAGGAGCCUGUCCUAUAACCCGAUACCACACGUUCUACCCAACCGCCUGUUGCAUUCCAGCCUAUAUACCGCCGUCGCCAGUCUACCUUAUGAAAGCCAAUCCGUAGACAAAAAAGUUUUAUCACUAACACGUCAGGUCGAGGUGUAGCUAAUCGGGCGGCAGUGAUGGGCUACAUUUUCCUAAUAUGACCACACGAACAGCAAACAUGAAAUACCUGCUAGAAGGCGGAUUUAGUAGUAAAAUAAAUAAGCUAGUUUACUUUAAACCCUGCUCUGGGACGCGCACACACCGCCCGUCACCCUCUUCAAGUCCCACAUUAACCAUCUAUAAUAAACUACACGGACAAAAAGAAGAGAUAAGUCGUAACAUGGUAAGCGUACUGGAAAGUGCGCUUGGCUA